AUACAUGCAAGUCGAGCGAACAGAUAAGGAGCUUGCUCCUUUGACGUUAGCGGCGGACGGGUGAGUAACACGUGGGUAACCUACCUAUAAGACUGGAAUAACUCCGGGAAACCGGGGCUAAUGCCGGAUAACAUUUAGAACCGCAUGGUUCUAAAGUGAAAGAUGGUUUUGCUAUCACUUAUAGAUGGACCCGCGCCGUAUUAGCUAGUUGGUAAGGUAACGGCUUACCAAGGCAACGAUACGUAGCCGACCUGAGAGGGUGAUCGGCCACACUGGAACUGAGACACGGUCCAGACUCCUACGGGAGGCAGCAGUAGGGAAUCUUCCGCAAUGGGCGAAAGCCUGACGGAGCAACGCCGCGUGAGUGAUGAAGGUCUUCGGAUCGUAAAACUCUGUUAUUAGGGAAGAACAAAUGUGUAAGUAACUGUGCACGUCUUGACGGUACCUAAUCAGAAAGCCACGGCUAACUACGUGCCAGCAGCCGCGGUAAUACGUAGGUGGCAAGCGUUAUCCGGAAUUAUUGGGCGUAAAGCGCGCGUAGGCGGUUUCUUAAGUCUGAUGUGAAAGCCCACGGCUCAACCGUGGAGGGUCAUUGGAAACUGGGAAACUUGAGUGCAGAAGAGGAAAGUGGAAUUCCAUGUGUAGCGGUGAAAUGCGCAGAGAUAUGGAGGAACACCAGUGGCGAAGGCGACUUUCUGGUCUGUAACUGACGCUGAUGUGCGAAAGCGUGGGGAUCAAACAGGAUUAGAUACCCUGGUAGUCCACGCCGUAAACGAUGAGUGCUAAGUGUUAGGGGGUUUCCGCCCCUUAGUGCUGCAGCUAACGCAUUAAGCACUCCGCCUGGGGAGUACGACCGCAAGGUUGAACUCAAGGGAAUUGACGGGGACCCGCACAAGCGGUGGAGCAUGUGGUUUAAUUCGAAGCAACGCGAAGACCUUACCAAUCUUGACAUCCUUUGACACUCUAGAGAUAGAGCCUUCCCCUUCGGGGACAAAGUGACAGGUGGUGCAUGGUUGUC
rnacentral:rRNA from 1 species